rnacentral:tRNA from 1 species
UCUAAUAUGGCAGAUUAGUGCAAUAGAUUUAAACCCUUUAUAAAAAAUAAAAUUUUUAUUAGAA